CUCGAUGAGUAGGGCGGGACACGUGGUAUCCUGUCUGAAUAUGGGGGGACCAUCCUCCAAGGCUAAAUACUCCUGACUGACCGAUAGUGAACCAGUACCGUGAGGGAAAGGCGAAAAGAACCCCGGCGAGGGGAGUGAAAAAGAACCUGAAACCGUGUACGUACAAGCAGUGGGAGCACGCUUAGGCGUGUGACUGCGUACCUUUUGUAUAAUGGGUCAGCGACUUAUAUUCUGUAGCAAGGUUAACCGAAUAGGGGAGCCGAAGGGAAACCGAGUCUUAACUGGGCGUUAAGUUGCAGGGUAUAGACCCGAAACCCGGUGAUCUAGCCAUGGGCAGGUUGAAGGUUGGGUAACACUAACUGGAGGACCGAACCGACUAAUGUUGAAAAAUUAGCGGAUGACUUGUGGCUGGGGGUGAAAGGCCAAUCAAACCGGGAGAUAGCUGGUUCUCCCCGAAAGCUAUUUAGGUAGCGCCUCGUGAAUUCAUCUCCGGGGGUAGAGCACUGUUUCGGCAAGGGGGUCAUCCCGACUUACCAACCCGAUGCAAACUGCGAAUACCGGAGAAUGUUAUCACGGGAGACACACGGCGGGUGCUAACGUCCGUCGUGAAGAGGGAAACAACCCAGACCGCCAGCUAAGGUCCCAAAGUCAUGGUUAAGUGGGAAACGAUGUGGGAAGGCCCAGACAGCCAGGAUGUUGGCUUAGAAGCAGCCAUCAUUUAAAGAAAGCGUAAUAGCUCACUGGUCGAGUCGGCCUGCGCGGAAGAUGUAACGGGGCUAAACCAUGCACCGAAGCUGCGGCAGCGACGCUUAUGCGUUGUUGGGUAGGGGAGCGUUCUGUAAGCCUGUGAAGGUGUACUGUGAGGUAUGCUGGAGGUAUCAGAAGUGCGAAUGCUGACAUAAGUAACGAUAAAGCGGGUGAAAAGCCCGCUCGCCGGAAGACCAAGGGUUCCUGUCCAACGUUAAUCGGGGCAGGGUGAGUCGACCCCUAAGGCGAGGCCGAAAGGCGUAGUCGAUGGGAAACAGGUUAAUAUUCCUGUACUUGGUGUUACUGCGAAGGGGGGACGGAGAAGGCUAUGUUGGCCGGGCGACGGUUGUCCCGGUUUAAGCGUGUAGGCUGGUUUUCCAGGCAAAUCCGGAAAAUCAAGGCUGAGGCGUGAUGACGAGGCACUACGGUGCUGAAGCAACAAAUGCCCUGCUUCCAGGAAAAGCCUCUAAGCAUCAGGUAACAUCAAAUCGUACCCCAAACCGACACAGGUGGUCAGGUAGAGAAUACCAAGGCGCUUGAGAGAACUCGGGUGAAGGAACUAGGCAAAAUGGUGCCGUAACUUCGGGAGAAGGCACGCUGAUAUGUAGGUGAAGUCCCUCGCGGAUGGAGCUGAAAUCAGUCGAAGAUACCAGCUGGCUGCAACUGUUUAUUAAAAACACAGCACUGUGCAAACACGAAAGUGGACGUAUACGGUGUGACGCCUGCCCGGUGCCGGAAGGUUAAUUGAUGGGGUUAGCGCAAGCGAAGCUCUUGAUCGAAGCCCCGGUAAACGGCGGCCGUAACUAUAACGGUCCUAAGGUAGCGAAAUUCCUUGUCGGGUAAGUUCCGACCUGCACGAAUGGCGUAAUGAUGGCCAGGCUGUCUCCACCCGAGACUCAGUGAAAUUGAACUCGCUGUGAAGAUGCAGUGUACCCGCGGCAAGACGGAAAGACCCCGUGAACCUUUACUAUAGCUUGACACUGAACAUUGAGCCUUGAUGUGUAGGAUAGGUGGGAGGCUUUGAAGUGUGGACGCCAGUCUGCAUGGAGCCGACCUUGAAAUACCACCCUUUAAUGUUUGAUGUUCUAACGUGGACCCGUAAUCCGGGUUGCGGACAGUGUCUGGUGGGUAGUUUGACUGGGGCGGUCUCCUCCUAAAGAGUAACGGAGGAGCACGAAGGUUGGCUAAUCCUGGUCGGACAUCAGGAGGUUAGUGCAAUGGCAUAAGCCAGCUUGACUGCGAGCGUGACGGCGCGAGCAGGUGCGAAAGCAGGUCAUAGUGAUCCGGUGGUUCUGAAUGGAAGGGCCAUCGCUCAACGGAUAAAAGGUACUCCGGGGAUAACAGGCUGAUACCGCCCAAGAGUUCAUAUCGACGGCGGUGUUUGGCACCUCGAUGUCGGCUCAUCACAUCCUGGGGCUGAAGUAGGUCCCAAGGGUAUGGCUGUUCGCCAUUUAAAGUGGUACGCGAGCUGGGUUUAGAACGUCGUGAGACAGUUCGGUCCCUA
rnacentral:rRNA from 1 species